rnacentral:lncRNA from 1 species
ACAACCCGUGCUCCCUUGAAGAAAGGCUUGUUUCUAGGGUUAGGGCAGGGAAAACAUAAUAUGAGCCUGAAGCAUCCUACAGUGCCAGAAAGUAAGGAAGUUUCCAGAAAAGACAAAUUGAUAGAACAGAAAGUAGACUGGUGAUUGCCUGGGGCUGAGAGUGCUGAGGAGGAGACAUGAGGAACGCUUCUGGGAUGCUGCCUCUCAGACGGUUCCAAAAUCAGCCAAGGAAGGAGAGACGUCAUCCUGUCUCUGCUCCUCACAAAACAGCCUGUGCAUGUGUGGCCGAGACUGCCCUUGUCCUCACUGCCCGUCGUUGGAGUGAAGAUGGGAAGAACCCUGGAUUGGCUGGAGCCUUCAAACAAGGCACCUUCCAAGGUUAAUUACUUAGAAGAUACUUUUCAGGCUGAGCAAGGGACAACUGCGAAAAGUGAUGAAGUUCUGAACUCUGGUGAUUCAGAGAUGAUUUGUAAAAAACAUGCAUUCCUCGUGUAAUGAAAUUGAGAAAUGCCAGUAACAUUUACUAUAAAACCUGCUUGGUGACUCCUCUUAUACUGAUUUGCAUGAUUAAACCAGAAGUGGCUCUUGAUUAGAAAAAUUGUCCCCAGAAUAUAAUAAAAGCAUGCAUGUAGCUAAAUUUUAAGGUUGCGUCUUCAGAGAAAAAUGUAUCAUCCUAAACAGACAUACUAUUAUCCAAAUCUCAAUAUUAUUAAUAUGGUAGAUUCAAAAUAAACUCCAGGGAAAAGCACGGGAAGUGAAAAUAUUCUGCAACAAUGCUUCUCAAAUUUUAAUUUGCGUAAGAAUCAGCUGGGGAUCUUGUUAAUUCCGAUUCUGGUAGGGCCCAGGAUUCUGCAUUUCUAACAAGCUCUCGGGAGAUGCUGUUGCUGCCUGUCUGUAGAUCAAGAUCUUUGACAGCGAUUUCCUUCUCCAUUAGUUAUCCCUACUCCGAAGGUAAAAAUUCCUAAAGCUUUAAGUUCUUCGCUACAUUUUCAUCAGCUUUCAACAGUCUUGACAAUUACAACUUUGUAUCUAUUAGCAUUAUUCCCUGUAACUUUUAUUUUUUAACUUCUUAGGGGGCUUUUUGUAAACAAAUUUUCCCUUACCACCACUUUAAUACUUGAUUAUAUAGUCUAUAAAAAAUGCGUAAAGGUCAUCAGCUCAUUAUUAAUUAGCCAACAGAGACCUCCCCAGUGCAUGCUGGGAAGUGUAGUAGUAAGACAAUUGCUAAUGUUCAGCAG